ensembl:lncRNA
CUACCACUCAGUGGUAAGGCUACAUCAGUCUUUCGCUCUGCACAAUAAAGGGCAAACCGCCUGUAUCAACAUUGCUUGUUGUCCAAAAAAGCUGAAAGACUCGCGCAGCCCACCCAGAGACGCCAAAUUGUCGUGGAAAUUAGACAACACUCGCAGACUCGUCCUCUGAAGAAAAACUUCAAAAGACAUAAAAAUCCAGCACCAGCUGAGUUUUGGUGAUUUCAGCUCCCAGGAAAGAGUCCUGACUGCACAGCUGCAUGACGGCAGUGCCCCUGUGCACAAAGCGCGCUCCAUGAAGACAUGGUUUACGAAAAUUGGACUGGGAGACCUUGAGUGUCGUGCACAGAGCCCUGACCUCAACCCCACUGAACACCUUUGAGAUGAACUGGAACUGGAACCUCCUCACCCAACAUCAGCUCCUGAUCUCAUCCUCACUAACGCUCUUGUAGCUGAAUGAACACAAAGCCACACAACCACAAAAUCUACUGGA